AUAAAAUUUUAUAGUUUAUAUAAUUUAUUUUAAAUUUAUUUUACAUAUAAAUUUUAGUAAAUAUUUUAUUUUAUUUUAAUAAUAAAAUAUUUAAUUAAGUAGUAAUUAAUAUUAAAAAUUUAAGAAAUUAAGAUUUAGUAAUAUAAAAAUUAAAAACUAAUUUUGUGCCAGCAGUUGCGGUUAAACAAAAUUUAAAAUAAAUUUUUUUAGUAAUUAAUUAUUAAAAAUUUAUAAAUUAAUUUAAAUUUUAAAUUAUUAAGUGAAAUUUUAAUUUAAUAAAAAAUUAAAAUUUUUAUUUAUGAUAAUUAAUAAAUUUUAAAAAAAACUAGGAUUAGAUACCCUAUUAUGAAAAAUUUAAAAUAAAUAUACUAAAAUAGUAAUUAAUUUUUUAUUGAAACUUAAAUAAAUUGGCGGUAUUUUAGUUCAUUUAGAGGAAUCUGUUUAAUAAUUGAUAUUCCACGAAUAAAUUUACUUAAUUUAAUAAUUUGUAUAUCGUUGUUAAAAAAAUAUUUUAAAAUAAUUAAUAAUAUUUAAAAAUUUAAAUUUAAAAUUAAAUCAGAUCAAGAUGUAGUUUAUAAUUAAGAAUAUAAUGGAUUACAAUAAAUUUAUUUAAAUGAAUAUAAAUUUGUAAAAAUUUAUUGAAGGUGAAUUUAAAAGUAAUUUUAUUUAGUUUUUUAAAAUGAUUAAAAAUUAAAAUAUGUACAUAUUGCCCGUCACUUUCAUAUAUAAGUUGAAAUAAGUCGUAACAAAGUAGAGGUACUGGAAAGUGUUUCUAGAAUGU
rnacentral:ncRNA from 1 species